rnacentral:tRNA from 1 species
UGCGGGGUAGAGCAAUUUGGUAGCUCUCAAGGUUCAUAACCUUGAGGUCAUGGGUUCAAAUCCUAUAUCUACAA